rnacentral:lncRNA from 1 species
CCGGCCCCCACCCCCCUCACCUGGCUCCUUCCCUCCCAUUGGCUCCUUCCCCCCUAUUGACCCCGCCCCCUUGGCCUGGCUCCUCCCCCUCCCUCCGAUCCCUCCCCUCCCAUUGGCUCCUCCCUUCCCCUGGCCCCGCCCCCAAGCGGCCCCGCCCCCCCGGGGGCGCCCGUCCUUGUCGGCCGGCCCGGCGGGGAAGGGGUGACCGAGAGGCGGAGGAAGGUCCGGGGGCUCCCGUGGCGGGGAGGCCCAGUCGAAGCCGCUCGAGGGCGGGGGUCGCGGGGAGGCGGCCGCGCCGGGGGCGGAGGGGGAGGGGCACGUCCGGGGGGCCGCCGCCGUUAAGGGUCCCGCAUCCCCGGGGGUCCCGUCGGUCGGUUAACCGGGAGGGCGGGAGAGGCCGGGGGGAAGCGAUGGCGGCGGAGCGCGGGGCGGAGGCCCGGCGGGCGGAGGGGCGCUAAGAGCCGCCCCGGCCCAACGCUCGGAAUCGCCUCCGUUGCCCUUCGGUCGGUGGUACCGGGGACCGGUCCCGGCCUCGGGUCCGCCUCGGCUCCCUCCGCGCACACUGUUAGGACGCAGCGUCCAGAGCCAGAAAGGGAGUCCUCCAACCCAGGCCGGGGCGGGGGGGCGGGGGGGAGGGGGUCACACAAUCACACAAACACACAGUCACACACUGCUGUCCCCUAGCCGGACACGUUUGCUCUCUCUCACACACACACGUGCUGUCCCCUUCGGGGGUCACCUUCUCUCCCUCUCACAGACACACACACAGUGGUGUUCCCUAGCGGGUCACCUUCACUGUCCCUCUGUGUCUCUCACACACACACACACACACACACGCAAGUGGUGUCCCCUAGGGGGUCCCAUUCUCUUUCUCUCUCACACACACACACACACACAAGCGGUGUCCCCUAGGGGGAGGUCCCAUUCUCCCUCACAAACACGCACACACCCGAGUGCUGUCCCCUAGCGGGUCACCCACACACACGUCAGUGGUGUCCCCUGGGGGGGGGGGUCCCAUUCUCUGUCUCACCCGCGCACACCCGCAAACACACACACGCACGCACACGGACCGGCGCGGCCCUCCUCCCCCCGGCGGGUCCCCCCGCGGCCCUGCGGCGCCCGACCGGUCCCGCACAGGGUUAAAGGCACCG